CAGAGGUGUCUUUUUGAGUACGUUUAUUAAAUCUGGGGACCAUGAAACAAGGAAGGACCCAGGAUAGAAAAGUAACAAGAGAGAGACUAGAAAG